rnacentral:rRNA from 1 species
UACGUAGGGGGCAAGCGUUGUCCGGAAUCAUUGGGCGUAAAGAGCGUGUAGGCGGCUUGGUAAGUCCGCUGUGAAAGUCCAGGGCUCAACCCUGGAAAGCCGGUGGAAACUGUCAAGCUUGAGUCCGGAAGAGGCGAGUGGAAUUCCUGGUGUAGCGGUGAAAUGCGCAGAUAUCGGGAAGAACACCCGUGGCGAAGGCGGCUGCUCUCGGGACGGUACUGACGCUGAGACGCGAAAGCGUGGGGAGCGAACAGG